AGUGAACGCUGGCGGUAGGCCUAACACAUGCAAGUCGAACGGCAGCACAGUAAGAGCUUGCUCUUACGGGUGGCGAGUGGCGGACGGGUGAGGAAUACAUCGGAAUCUACUUUUUCGUGGGGGAUAACGUAGGGGAACUUACGCUAAUACCGCAUACGCCCUACGAGUGAAAGCAGGGGAACUUCGGACCUUGCGCGAUUGAAUGAGCCGAUGUCGGAUUAGCUAGUUGGCGGGGUAAAGGCCCACCAAGGCGGGGAUCCGUAGCUGGUCUGAGAGGAUGGUCGGCGACACUGGAACGGAGACACGGUCCAGACUCCUACGGGAGGCAGCAGUGGGGAAUAUUGGACAAUGGGCGCAAGCCUGAUCCAGCCAUACCGCGUGGGUGAAGAAGGCCUUCGGGUUGUAAAGCCCUUUUGUUGGGAAAGAAAAGCAGCAGGUUAAUACCCCGCUGUUCUGACGGUACCCAAAGAAUAAGCACCGGCUAACUUCGUG
rnacentral:rRNA from 1 species